UUGAAUCACUGCCAGGCGAGGAGAACCACACAUACCUGCAGUUAUGAUUCGCUUGCCAUCUCUUUUACCACAAUUUCCACCGCUCCAUGUGCGGCCACAUCACUAGGGAUUUCGGAAUCCAUUUCAUAUAGCUCAAGGGUUGGUUUCAAACCCUAUAGCAUUGACCUAUCUAGGUCCAACGUCCUUUUCACCCUAGGCCCAACUGACUCUAGGUUCAACGUCUCUAUCACAUAACCUAGAUUUACUUAACUCUAGGUUCAAUCCAUAACCUAUGUUCUUUAACACUAGGUUAGAUGCCACUCGACCUAUGUUCAAUAACACUAGGUUCAUUGUCAUUCAUGUCCAACCUAUGUUUUAUACACUAGGUUCAUUGUCAUUCAUGUUCAACCUAUGUUUUAUACACUAGGUUCAUUGUCAUUCAUGUCCAACCUAUGUUUUAUACACUAGGUUAAGUGCCACUCGAUCUAUUUGACAUCCUAAUUGUCCAUGUCGAGUCCCAUAACUAUCAACAUUUUAUCUAGCAUGCAUUCUUUGAUGCCAACAUGCAUAAUCUUUCUCACAUGAUCUACAACAUGUUAAUAUGCAAGUAAUCUAGCAUAUUCUCAUCAUGUCAUCAUACAUGUAUUAACAAGCAUAUUUACAUUAUGUCAUUAACAUGCAUUCUUUACCAUAUGCUCGCAUGCAUUAUUUAGCAUUUCUAUAAUAUGUUCAUCAUGCAUUCUAUGGUAGUCGUAGCAUAGCAAUUAACAUGCAUUCGCCUAGCAUUUAACUCUUGCAUUCAUCUACCAUUUAUAUGCAUCAAUAUGAAUUUACAUUUCUCUUAGACAUAAAGGGCGACCUAGUCGCUUCGGUAGGCACAACCCACCUUAACACGCGUUCCGAUUGCUUGUCGACACUUGCAAUCGGCCUCCCGCGGCACCCGUAUCCGGCACGGCCCGAUAUCGCAACUGCGCCUCAACCGUGCUCCGCUUCGCAGCCCCGAAAAUUAUAGGUCCUCGGUUACGUGCCACGGUGCUUCAAAUCCAUUUCCAUGAUUUUACGACGUCGCCUCGGCCCUCCCGGCGGACCCGAAGCCUAAACGUCCGUUUCUUUAAUAACUUUGUAACGGCUCGUCGGAUUGCCGAUCCGUCUUCGCCAACGCGUUUCGUUACCUAGCAAUUAGGUUUAUGAAGGGUCAAAUGAGAUCAAACCCUCAUAUUUUGAAAGUUUGCAUUUUUGAGCCCUAAUAUGAAUUAACCUCUAAAUAAUCCAAAUCAAAUGGAGCAAACAUGUUUAGAAUGCUCAUUAGAGGCUAUUAGAACACUUAAAACUAAGGAUUAAGCCAAAUCCUAAAAGCUUACCUCAAUGUGAACGCCGCGACGACAACACACCGCUCCAACGGCCGCACGAAAGCCCGAUCCGUCGCCUCCAACGCGUUCGCAAGCAUCUUCUCCACCAACCCUCCAAUUUUUAGAGAGAGAUUUAGAGAGAUGAGAGAGAUAUCUAGAGAGAGAUAGAGGUGUUUCUCUCUCUACUCCAUGCGUGCGUGGGUGUGUGCUCGGGCUGAAGGAGAAAGAAGAAGAAGCAUCAGCUUCUUUAUAAUGCACCCCAAGGCACUAUUCACUCCAGGCAGCUUGAAAUCUGAUAAAUUUCGUUGGAGCCCUUCCGGAUGUCCGUUUGAGCUCAAAUUUGACAGGCAUGUUCGGUUUCACUUAAUAAGUCCAAAGAAAUUUUAAUAUUUCAGUUUCAACCCCGUUUGGUCACUGAAAACUGUACCGAACUGCAAUCUUUAUCAGAUAGCUUUCGGAUUCGAUUUCUCUCUCUACGGGUGUCAGAAAAAUAUGAAACUUUAAAUCUAGUCUCAUAAAAAUAUUUCUGACAUCUCCAUCAAUUUUCAUAAUUUUCUGACACUGUGCAUUUUCUGCUAAUUUAUCUGUCCCGUUUCUUACAGAAAAUUCUAAAUCAUCUGUUUUCGCUCUGAUUUCAGCACAGGUCAUUCCCAACUUAUAUUUCACUUCUCUAAAUCCAAUAAAAGUAGUAUCUCAUACUAUUUUUAUUUAUUUUCACUUUUAUAUUUAAAAUCCGGUAUGUUACGUUCUACCGCAACCUCACCGGAACCAUUUAAAUAUACACCGUAACUUCAUAGUUUUAGAAGUCCGGUACCUUACAUCCUCCCCUCCUUAAUAAGAGUUUCGUCCCCGAAACUCACUCACUUCAACCCAAUUCACACUCUAAUUCUCUUUAUUGGGUGACAAGGGUGUACAAUGCACUUUUGCAUCUCGGAGUGGCCUUUCGCUCAUUGGAACUAUCCAAAGGUCCACUACGGAGGACGUGAGACUAGAUUCACUCACAUUUGCUGUGUGUAAGUCCAAAAGUGCAUUACGGGUCUCCGUCAUUCUUGGUGGUAGCGCAAGUUGAAACUCAACGACACCACGCGCUUGAACACCAUUCACCACUUGACAUGCAAGAACUUUUCUUUGCAUUUACCUUCCCCUCAGGGUAUUACAAUUCGAUUACCAGCCUUGCUUGAAGGCAAUAUCAUUGUGCAUCGCUUCAUCGUGAGUGUUCAAAUCAUAUUUGAAUCUUUGCUCUAUCAAGAGAUGGCCCACUCCGGUGCAUCUCGAUUUUGAAUCCAUAAUAAAGCAUUAUCCUCAAGUUCCUCAAUUCCUCCAACAUAACCCAGCCUACCUGGGCAAAUGCCGCACUCGGGGACCGGUCUCUCCCUUACCUGGGACCGGUUGCCCCGCGCUGCGCGACCCUCAGCCUCGGGGCAACCGGUCCUUCCCUGUCUGGGACCGGUCCCCGAGAGCAAGCUCACGCAGACCACGUUCGGGAACCGGUCCCUCCCGCCAGGGACCGGUCCCCGAGAGCAAAUCUGCCAAGUGUAGAUUCUUGCACCAUUUGCUCUCGCGGACUCCAUUGCAAUGCACUUUUAGUGCAUUUGACUUCUUCGGCUUUCAUGAAGCACUCCCACUCGACAAUUAGUCGAUCCUGAGCGAAGUCCAACUCUCGUAAUUUCCUUACUCUAACUCCUCCAUAGAGUUAUUGGCUAAACCGAUUACGUCGGCUUUCACAGGUGGACCAACGGUCGCAAACACUACGUAGGUCUAUCGCCUAACGUGUCUCAACUACGCGUAGCAUUUCCCGCUCGCAAGUAGACCCAAUCCUCAAUUUUCGAGCGAAAUUCUCACCUGGGAAUUCGCACCCACUCCAAGCAGGAGCAACCAAGACCCCAAACCACGUCAAGUCCUCGGGUUGGGUCACAACACACUAGGUGUAUCCUCGAUCUCACGAUCCAACACGUGGCAUUCCACGCACCCGGGUCUAAGCUCGGACUACCGUCCUGACCAACUCUCUGCCCUACCUAUAGGUACCGGACCGCUGUCUCUCACAGCUGACUGCACCUGCCCAAUGGGCCCAGACUCCACAGUCCACAAAUGGUCCAGGCACAGGUCGUCCCCAAGCAAUACCCGCCAACGUCGUCCUACACGACAUGCUCUACGAGUACCUAUACUCGAGCGCUCUACGCCUCUAUAGCGUUUCAACUAAGCCAAGCAGUAGGCCACCCGCCUAUGCACACCGACUACACGAGCACUACUCGCCCACCUCAACUCAGGGUGUUAUUAGGCCCAUAUGCUCGUGCUCGAUAACUAUCCGACUUUUUUCUCAAUAGUGAUCCUACUCUCACUGUUCAAUCUACCGAACCAUAUUCGAAAUGCUUUAACUACAAGGGUAUCCUCAAUGUCACGGCGCAACUCUCGCAAUCUGGUUCUCAUUGCCUUGAGAGCCGCUUCACCGUUUCACGUUCACCGCGAGUCUCAUUUCUUGUCCAGGAACCAUCACUAACAGUUUGUUAGUGCUGCAUGGCUCUCUACCUGCUCCAGCAGGCGCUACACUCUCACGAUGCAAGCAUGCUCGGGUGUCUACCUACCCGACCACUCGGUCCCUACUAUGCAAUAUGUAAAUAGUAGCUGCUGACCAUAUGAUAAAUGCAUGCUAUGCAACAGUCCAAUAUUAGGUAGAAGCAUAUACUUGCUUAAUUAACUCGUACCUGCCAUGACAGUGUCAGCAGUAGUAGGUUCCUCCACCUGGGUCGCGUAUCCACGGUCACCCGCUGCCCGCCGCGAGCCCCUCGGUGGCAUCAUCCUCAACGGUCGCGCUUCCGGCCAUGCCGCAGGUAGCACACCUGUAGGCUGUCCUGGGGAGGAAAAGGCCGUCGCCCGUGUCAGGGUCUGAUUAUACCCUUGCGGACACUCGUCCCGUACAUGGCCCGGCUGCCCGCAACGAAGGCAUCUACCAUCGCGCAGCACACACCGCCGAGCCUAGUAGGAACCACCACAAAUCACGCAUCCUGGGGAGGAUCGGCUAGAGAACGACUUCGAGUGGCGCUUGGAACUUGAUUGUCCACCCGAAUCUCUCGAUAGUGGCUUCACCCCUCCCCGCUGACGCUCAGAAGACUCGUGCUUCUCGCGCACGAAAGCAUCACCGUGCUCUGCCAACAACGCUCGAUCCAACACCUCCGUGAAGGUCGUGAGCCUAAGGAUUUGCACCCUCUCGUAAAUCUCCGGUCGAAGUCCAUGUAGGAACCAAUCGGCCAUAUCCUUGUCAUCCCGUACCACAUCCGGGACACAAUUCACGAUACGAGAGAAUUCCCGUUCAUACUCUCCCACUGAGCGGCCUCCUUGCCGCAGCUUCCUGAACCUGUCCUGAAGCUUUCUCUUUUCAGUGUCGGGAAAGUAAGUCGAAAACACCAAUCCCCGAAACUCAUCCCAUGCCAUAGGAGGGAGACUAGGCGAUCGAUUCCGUCGAAUGCUUUUCCACCACACUUUUGCCGACAACUUCAAACAGUGCACGGCUAGGGGCACCUUGUCCCGCUCCAAGGCGUACAGCUCCUCAAAGAGCGUUUCCAUAGAGUCAAUCCACAUCUCCACGAUCCAUGGAUCAACAUUCUCUCCAUCGAAGACAGGCGGAUCAAACUUCUUGAAGGUCAUAAGGGCCGCCAAAGCCCGCUCUUUCUCCGCCUCCACUUCCACAGAAUCAGAGGCCACUACCCCUGAAUCCAUCGCCACUCCCGUCGAUACACGGCACGCUGCUACCGGCGCAGCCGCCGCAAUCUGUCGUGCUAACAACUCAUGGAGCUCCUUGAUCUGCUCCUCCUGUCGCAGCACUACGCCCAUGAGCGUACUCAUCUGCUCGCGAAGCACCGGAUCUCCGCUCGCCUCGGGUUGCUCAGGGAAAACACCUGUCCCAUCCCGAGUUGAUCUAGACGAAGGUCGCCUACGCGGUGCCAUCGUUCCUUGAAAUACGACAACUCAAUUAAUUCUCAACCCUCUGGGUCAAGCACGAGACAAUUUAACAUUAACUCAAAUCGGGCGAAAGUCACGCAAGGGCGUCUAUUCUCAUCACUCAGUUUCAUGUUGUGUGCACCCAACAUGAACACCCUCGGUUGAGAAUAAACCACACCUCGAGUCUACCUCUAAUAUCCGUCAUAGAGGUUUCAACAAAACCCAAUCAAUGAACCUUUCGCCAUAAGUCACAAGUCCUCGUCUCUCACGAGCCUUAUUCUCCUAUGGUUUACGAUCCUAGGUUCUCCUAGGUCCAUCUAAACCAUUGCCCAUUCUCUACUUUAUGCUCUGAUACCACUUUACCUGUCACGCCCCGAGCCCCGCCUAUUUGGCCGAGUUCGGGCACGUCGACAGACCGCCGAACGGACAGAGUUUCCCCUGUACGUCCUAGGCGUCGCAAUCAAUACAAUGAACAUUACAAGGGUUCCAACCAGGAACAGAUAUCAAACAUGAUUGCAUAAGGAAAGUAUCACAACAUAACACAUCCUAUGUUAUUACAUGCAUUCACAAUAAUACAUUUACUUUACAUUCAACUCCCAAAUGCAAUUAAGUUAUUACAUCAUUUGCUUACUACAAAUUGAUACAUUAUUUUCUUUUCAUUACCCAAACCCCUAGGCUAUGCCGACUCGGGGUACCGCUAUCUCUGGUCUCUGGGGUAGGGCGCUAUCUAUGGAGCUACGCCCUUGCAUCGCGCCGCCGCGCCGCUCACGUGCGAACCUGUAACACCCCAAAACAACGUGGGGUGAGAACCAACUCCAUGGUUCCCAGUGGGUACGGCCACCCAAGGGAGGAGCUCGACCAAUAGGUCCAAAGAGGCAGCUGCAGGUUAGUUUAAUAAACAGAUAGAUAGAUAUUUUACUAUGCAAUUAAUAAAACCAUACCUUGCCUCGCAAAUGCAAUAUGAACAUUAUGCAACUAUGCAACUGCAUAAACAACUAGUAGAUAUGUUAAUUCUACUUUUACUUUGCUACUUUAGGUCAUUUCAUUCAAUUGUAAGGUUUCCAUUACCUUAUGUUCUCAACUCAAGUUCAACUUGCUUCUAAGGUCUCUAUUACCUCAGGUUCUUGCCUCGAUCACUAGCUUAUAAGGUUCCCAUUAACCUAAUCAAGCUAACCACCCAACUCGGCCUCAAGUCAAUUAUCCGCGGAUAGUCCGCGCACUGGCUGCACCUCAGCCUGGCUGCCGUCGCAGCCUACCGCAGAUCUGACUUAACCAUCUGACGGCGAACUCAUCGCUCUCACCCAACAACAACUCAAGUCAUGACUUAGCCAUCUGGCGGCGAACUCAUCGCACCUCACCUAACAAUGGUUCAAGUCAUAACUUAGUCAUCUGGCAGCGACCACAUCGCUCUCACCCAACAAUGGUUCAAGUCAACCUAGGCGGCAUCAUCCGAUAAGCUAAUGGGCGAGGAGAACCACACAUACCCAAUUCCAGCUUAUUCUCAUGGCAUCCCGGGCGAGGAGAACCAUACAUACCCGUUGAAUCACUGCCAGGCGAGGAGAACCACACAUACCUGCAGUUAUGAUUCGCUUGCCAUCUCUUUUACCACAAUUUCCACCGCUCCAUGUGCGGCCACAUCACUAGGGAUUCCGGAAUCCAUUUCAUAUAGCUCAAGGGUUGGUUUCAAACCCUAUAGCAUUGACCUAUCUAGGUUCAACGUCCUUUUCACCCUAGGUCCAACUGACUCUAGGUUCAACGUCUCUAUCACAUAACCUAGAUUUACUUAACUCUAGUUUCAAUCCAUAACCUAUGUUCUUUAACACUAGGUUAGAUACCACUCGACCUAUGUUCAAUAACACUAGGUUCAUUGUCAUUCAUGUCCAACCUAUGUUUUAUACACUAGGUUCAUUGUCAUUCAUGUUCAACCUAUGUUUUAUACACUAGGUUGAUUGUCAUUCAUGUCCAACCUAUGUUUUAUACACUAGGUUAAGUGCCACUCGAUCUAUUUGACAUCCUAAUUGUCCAUGUCGAGUCCCAUAACUAUCAACAUUUUAUCUAGCAUGCAUUCUUUGAUGCCAACAUGCAUAAUCUUUCUCACAUGAUCUACAACAUGUUAAUAUGCAAG
rnacentral:lncRNA from 1 species